UAGCUACAGGCUUAACACAUGCAAGUCGAGGGGAAACGACAUCGAAAGCUUGCUUUUGAUGGGCGUCGACCGGCGCACGGGUGAGUAACGCGUAUCCAACCUGCCCACCACUUGGGGAUAACCUCGCGAAAGUAAGACUAAUACCCAAUGACGUCUCUAGAAGACAUCUGAAAGAGAUUAAAGGUUUAUCGGUGAUGGAUGGGGAUGCGUCUGAUUAGCUUGUUGGCGGGGUAACGGCCCACCAAGGCAACGAUCAGUAGGGGUUCUGAGAGGAAGGUCCCCCACAUUGGAACUGAGACACGGUCCAAACUCCUACGGGAGGCAGCAGUGAGGAAUAUUGGUCAAUGGACGAGAGUCUGAACCAGCCAAGUAGCGUGCAGGAUGACGGCCCUAUGGGUUGUAAACUGCUUUUAUAAGGGAAUAAAGUGAGUCUCGUGAGACUUUUUGCAUGUACCUUAUGAAUAAGGACCGGCUAAUUCCGUGCCAGCAGCCGCGGUAAUACGGAAGGUCCGGGCGUUAUCCGGAUUUAUUGGGUUUAAAGGGAGCGUAGGCCGGAGAUUAAGCGUGUUGUGAAAUGUAGAUGCUCAACAUCUGCACUGCAGCGCGAACUGGUUUCCUUGAGUACGCACAAAGUGGGCGGAAUUCGUGGUGUAGCGGUGAAAUGCUUAGAUAUCACGAAGAACUCCGAUUGCGAAGGCAGCUCACUGGAGCGCAACUGACGCUGAAGCUCGAAAGUGCGGGUAUCGAACAGGAUUAGAUACCCUGGUAGUCCGCACGGUAAACGAUGGAUGCCCGCUGUUGGUCUGAAUAGGUCAGCGGCC
rnacentral:rRNA from 1 species